AGUGAACGCUGGCGGUAGGCCUAACACAUGCAAGUCGAACGGCAGCACAGUAAGAGCUUGCUCUUACGGGUGGCGAGUGGCGGACGGGUGAGGAAUACAUCGGAAUCUACUUUUUCGUGGGGGAUAACGUAGGGAAACUUACGCUAAUACCGCAUACGACCUACGGGUGAAAGCAGGGGAUCUUCGGACCUUGCGCGAUUGAAUGAGCCGAUGUCGGAUUAGCUAGUUGGCGGGGUAAAGGCCCACCAAGGCGACGAUCCGUAGCUGGUCUGAGAGGAUGAUCAGCCACACUGGAACUGAGACACGGUCCAGACUCCUACGGGAGGCAGCAGUGGGGAAUAUUGGACAAUGGGCGCAAGCCUGAUCCAGCCAUACCGCGUGGGUGAAGAAGGCCUUCGGGUUGUAGAGCCCUUUUGUUGGGAAAGAAAAGCAGCAGGUUAAUACCCCGCUGUUCUGACGGUACCCAAAGAAUAAGCACCGGCUAACUUCGCG
rnacentral:rRNA from 1 species